UACGUAGGGGGCAAGCGUUGUCCGGAAUCAUUGGGCGUAAAGCGCGUGUAGGCGGCUUGGUAAGUCCGUUCUGAAAGCCCGGGGCUCAACCCCGGGAGGCGGAUGGAUACUGUCAAGCUUGAGUCCGGAAGAGGCGAGUGGAAUUCCCGGUGUAGCGGUGAAAUGCGCAGAUAUCGGGAGGAACACCAAUGGCGAAGGCGGUUCUCUGGGCCUGUACUGACGCUGAGGAGCGAAAGCGUGGGGAGCAAACAGG
rnacentral:rRNA from 1 species